rnacentral:rRNA from 1 species
ACGCUCGACACCUACGGAAGGCAGCAGUUGGGAAUAUUGGACAAUGGAGGAAACUCUGAUCCAGUGACGCCGCGUGAAGGAAGAAGGUCUUCGGAUUGUAAACUUAUUUUGUCAGGGAAGAAAAAUGACUGUACCUGAAGAAAAAGCACCGGCUAACUACGUGCCCGCAGCCGCGGUAAUCUGAGCGGGCUGGCAAGGC